rnacentral:rRNA from 1 species
GACGAACGCUGGCGGCGUGCCUAAUACAUGCAAGUCGAGCGAGCGGCGGACGGGUGAGUAACACGUAAGGAACCUACCGAUAAGCGGGGGACAACCUCCGGAAAAGGGUGCUAAUACCGCAUACUUAUCGAUGGCCUUGCGGGGUAUUAGGUCGUUGGUGGGGUAACGGCCUACCAAGGCAAUGAUGCAUAGCCGACCUGCACGGGUAGUCGGCAAAAGUGGGACUGGGACACGGCCCAAGCGCCUACGGGGGGCAGCAGUAGGGAAUCAUCCGCAAUGGGGGCAAGUCUGACGGAGCAAAGCCGGGUGAGUGGUGACGGCCUUCGGGUUGGAAAGAUCUGUUAAUCGGGACGCGGUACCGGAAUAGAAAGCCACGGCUAACUACGUGCCAGCAGCCGCGGUAAUAC